GGCUCACCAAACCUUCGAUGGAUAGGGGUUCUGAGAGGAAGGUCCCCCACAUUGGAACUGAGACACGGUCCAAACUCCUACGGGAGGCAGCAGUGAGGAAUAUUGGUCAAUGGGCGCAGGCCUGAACCAGCCAAGUAGCGUGAAGGAUGACUGCCCUAUGGGUUGUAAACUUCUUUUAUAUGGGAAUAAAGUUUUCCACGUGUGGAAUUUUGUAUGUACCAUAUGAAUAAGGAUCGGCUAACUCCGUGCCAGCAGCCGCGGUAAUACGGAGGAUCCGAGCGUUAUCCGGAUUUAUUGGGUUUAAAGGGAGCGUAGGUGGACAGUUAAGUCAGUUGUGAAAGUUUGCGGCUCAACCGUAAAAUUGCAGUUGAUACUGGCUGUCUUGAGUACAGUAGAGGUGGGCGGGAUUCGUGGUGUAGCGGUGAAAUGCUUAGAUAUCACGAAGAACUCCGAUUGCGAAGGCAGCUCACUGGACUGCAACUGACACUGAUGCUCGAAAGUGUGGGUAUCAAACAGGAUUAGAUACCCUGGUAGUCCACACAGUAAACGAUGAAUACUCGCUGUUUGCGAUAUACAGUAAGCGGCCA
rnacentral:rRNA from 1 species